UGCAAAUCUAGGAGGUGUCAGCUUGUGCCUCUCCUGACCCCCUCACCCCAGUGUGUUGCAGAUCCAUCCCUAUGAAUGAGGAAAGAAGAGGAGAACAUAAGGCAUCCAUAUAAAAAGGAGCUGACGUGAUGUUUUGAUGCAGAUUUCUACCCACCUGUGUGUGAACCAGUUACACCAGAACUACAAUGUUCCUUUUUUUUUUUUUUUUCUUCUAAGUGGUAGCUGUGAUUUGAGUCCACCCAUUUCUUAUCUUGUAUUUAGUUUACAAUGUUUGGUCAGUGCCAGUAAGGUCUCAGACCAAGUGGGAUGUUCACUGUCAAGAAAUGUGUCUUCUCUGCACCAACUGUAG
rnacentral:lncRNA from 1 species